UUGGAGGGCAAGUCUGGUGCCAGCAGCCGCGGUAAUUCCAGCUCCAAUAGCGUAUAUUAAAGUUGUUGCAGUUAAAAAGCUCGUAGUUGAAUUUCGGGAUCAAAUUGUCGGUCGUGCCUCGGUACGCACUGGUAUUAUUGGUUCCUACCUUCUGAAGAACCGCGAUGUCAUUAAUUUGGUGUCGUGGGGAAUCAGGACUGUUACUUUGAAAAAAUUAGAGUGUUUAAAGCAGGCUUACGCUUGAAUACAUUAGCGUGGAAUAAUGGAAUAGGACGUUUGAUUCUAUUUUGUUGGUUUCUAGGAUUGACGUAAUGAUUAAUAGGGAUAGUUGGGGGCAUUAGUAUUCAAUUGUCAGAGGUGAAAUUCUUGGAUUUAUUGAAGACUAACUACUGCGAAAGCAUUUGCCAAGGAUGUUUUCAUUAAUCAAGAACGAAAGUUAGGGGAUCGAAGACGAUCAGAUACCGUCGUAGUCUUAACCAUAAACUAUGCCGACUAGGGAUCGGAUGAUGUUAAUUUUUUAAUAACUCAUUCGGCGCCUUACGGGAAACCAAAGUGUUUGGGUUC
rnacentral:rRNA from 1 species